UUGGCCUACGGGGCGCAGCAGUGGGGAAUAUUGCACAAUGGGGGGAACCCUGAUGCAGCGACGCCGCGUGGGUGAAGAAGUCAUUCGUGACGUAAAGCCCUAUCAGCAGGGAAGAAAAUGACGGUACCUGACUAAGAAGCCCCGGCUAACUACGUGCCAGCAGCCGCGGUAAUACGUAGGGGGCAAGCGUUAUCCGGAUUUACUGGGUGUAAAGGGAGCGUAGACGGUUAUGCAAGUCUGAAGUGAAAGCCCAAGGCUCAACCAUGGGACUGCUUUGGAAACUGUAAAACUGGAGUGCAGGAGAG
rnacentral:rRNA from 1 species